rnacentral:rRNA from 1 species
ACUCCUACGGGAGGCAGCAGUGGGGAAUAUUGCACAAUGGGCGCAAGCCUGAUGCAGCCAUGCCGCGUGUAUGAAGAAGGCCUUCGGGUUGUAAAGUACUUUCAGCAGUGAGGAAGGUGGAGUCGUUAAUAGCGGCCUCAUUUGACGUUAGCUGCAGAAGAAGCACCGGCUAACUCCGUGCCAGCAGCCGCGGUAAUACGGAGGGUGCGAGCGUUAAUCGGAAUUACUGGGCGUAAAGCGCAUGCAGGUGGUUUGUUAAGUCAGAUGUGAAAGCCCGGGGCUCAACCUCGGAAUUGCAUUUGAAACUGGCAGACUAGAGUACUGUAGAGGGGGGUAGAAUUUCAGGUGUAGCGGUGAAAUGCGUAGAGAUCUGAAGGAAUACCGGUGGCGAAGGCGGCCCCCUGGACAGAUACUGACACUCAGAUGCGAAAGCGUGGGGAGCAAACAGGAUUAGAUACCCUGGUAGGAAAGCG